UACGAAGGGGGCAAGCGUUGUUCGGAAUCACUGGGCGUAAAGCGUGCGUAGGCGGCAUUACAAGUCGGAAGUGAAAUCCCUGGGCACAUCCCAGGAACUGCUUUCGAAACUGUUUUGCUUGAAUCCGGGAGAGGUUGGCGGAAUUCCAAGUGUAGAGGUGAAAUUCGCAGAUAUUUGGAGGAACUCUAGUGGCGUAAGCGGCCAACUGGACCGGUAUUGACGCUGAGGCACGAAAGCGUGUGGAUCAAACAGG
rnacentral:rRNA from 1 species